rnacentral:rRNA from 1 species
GACAGAGGUGCCGAGCGUUAGGCGGAAUCACUGGGCUUAAAGCGUGUGUAGGCGGAUCGUUAAGUACCUUGUGAAAUCCCACGGCUCAACCGUGGAACUGCUGGGUAUACUGGCGGUCUUGAGCCACCUAGGGGCGAGCGGAACAAACGGUGGAGCGGUGAAAUGCGUAGAUAUCGUUUGGAACGCCAACGGUGAAAACAGCUCGCUGGGGGUGUGCUGACGCUGAGACACGAAAGCCAGGGGAGCGAACAGG